UUGUUGGAGAGUUUGAUCCUGGCUCAGGAUGAACGCUGGCGGCGUGCUUAACACAUGCAAGUCGAACGGAAAGGCCCAGCUUGCUGGGG
rnacentral:ncRNA from 1 species